UCAGCACAUCCUAAACACAAGGCUGAACACAACUAAAGCCAAACAACACGCACUUACAGCCCAGAGACAAUGGGCUU
rnacentral:rRNA from 1 species